rnacentral:rRNA from 1 species
AACGUAGGAGGCAAGCGUUAUCCGGAUUUACUGGGCGUAAAGCGUGUGCAGGCGGUUGUCCAAGUCGGGGAUGAAAGCGCUCCGCUUAACGGGGCGAGGCUAGACGAGACUGGGCGACUAGAAUCAGACAGAGGCAAGCGGAAUUCCUGGUGUAGCGGUGAAAUGCGCAGAUAUCAGGAGGAACACCAGCGGCGAAGGCGGUGCUCUGGGCCGGAACUGACGCUGAGGAGCGAAAGCGUGGGGAGCGAACAGG